UACGUAGGGGGCUAGCGUUGUCCGGAUUUAUUGGGCGUAAAGCGCGUGUAGGCGGCUUUGCAAGUCGGGUGUGAAAGCCCUCAGCUCAACUGAGGAAGGGCGCCCGAAACUGCAGAGCUUGAGUGCCGGAGAGGGUGGCGGAAUUCCCCAAGUAGAGGUGAAAUUCGUAGAUAUGGGGAGGAACACCGGUGGCGAAGGCGGCCACCUGGACGGUAACUGACGCUGAGACGCGAAAGCGUGGGGAGCAAACAGG
rnacentral:rRNA from 1 species